ACCUUAUCAAGAGAAACUGAGGGACUGGCCCUAUGACGUUUCAGCAACCACAUGCAGCGAGCAUGUAAAGGUGCUAAUUCCAGCAGAACUUUGUUCUGGAAGAUGAGAG
rnacentral:ncRNA from 2 species